GUGUCAGCAGCCGCGGUAAUACGUAGGUACCGAGCGUUAUCCGGAUUCACUGGGCGUAAAGCGCGUGCAGGUGGUUUGGUAAGUCGGGCAUGAAAACUCUUGGCUCAACUAAGAGACGCUGUCCGAUACUGCCGGACUUGAGGGUGUAAGAGGGAGGUGGAAUUCCGCAUGUAGUGGUGAAAUGCGUAGAUAUGCGGAGGAACACCAGUGGCGAAGGCGGCCUCCUGGUACACUCCUGACACUCAGACGCGAAAGCUAGGGGAGCGAACGGGAUUAGAAACCCCGGUAGUCCUAGCCGUAAACGAUGAUUACUAGGUGUUAGUGGUAUCAAGCCCACUAGUGCCGAAGCUAACGCGAUAAGUAAUCCGCCUGGGGACUACGAUCGCAAGAUUAAA
rnacentral:rRNA from 1 species